GGAGAGGUUCCCGAGCUGGCCAAAGGGGGCAGACUGUAAAUCUGCUGGCACUGCCUACACAGGUUCGAAUCCUGUCCUCUCCACCA
rnacentral:tRNA from 1 species